CAAGGAUGUUUUCAUUAAUCA
rnacentral:siRNA from 1 species